GUGGAUUAGUGGCGAACGGGUGAGUAACACGUGGGCAAUCUGCCCUUCACUCUGGGACAAGCCCUGGAAACGGGGUCUAAUACCGGAUAAUACUCUGUCCCGCAUGGGACGGGGUUGAAAGCUCCGGCGGUGAAGGAUGAGCCCGCGGCCUAUCAGCUUGUUGGUGGGGUAAUGGCCUACCAAGGCGACGACGGGUAGCCGGCCUGAGAGGGCGACCGGCCACACUGGGACUGAGACACGGCCCAGACUCCUACGGGAGGCAGCAGUGGGGAAUAUUGCACAAUGGGCGAAAGCCUGAUGCAGCGACGCCGCGUGAGGGAUGACGGCCUUCGGGUUGUAAACCUCUUUCAGCAGGGAAGAAGCGAAAGUGACGGUACCUGCAGAAGAAGCGCCGGCUAACUACGUGCCAGCAGCCGCGGUAAUACGUAGGGCGCAAGCGUUGUCCGGAAUUAUUGGGCGUAAAGAGCUCGUAGGCGGCUUGUCACGUCGGAUGUGAAAGCCCGGGGCUUAACCCCGGGUCUGCAUUCGAUACGGGCUAGCUAGAGUGUGGUAGGGGAGAUCGGAAUUCCUGGUGUAGCGGUGAAAUGCGCAGAUAUCAGG
rnacentral:rRNA from 1 species